rnacentral:rRNA from 4 species
CCUGGUGAAAUUAGCGCUGUGGAACCACCCGAUCCCAUCCCGAACUCGGAAGUGAAACGCAGCUGCGCCGAUGG